GCCAGCAUGACCUAGUGGUUUGAGUGUUGGACUUGGGCUCUGGAGACCAGGAUUCAAAUCCCUGCUCGCC